rnacentral:rRNA from 1 species
CUAUAAUGCAGUCGAGCGGACCGACGGGAGCUUGCUCCCUUAGGUCAGCGGCGGACGGGUGAGUAACACGUGGGUAACCUGCCUGUAAGACUGGGAUAACUCCGGGAAACCGGGGCUAAUACCGGAUGCUUGAUUGAACCGCAUGGUUCAAUUAUAAAAGGUGGCUUUUAGCUACCACUUACAGAUGGACCCGCGGCGCAUUAGCUAGUUGGUGAGGUAACGGCUCACCAAGGCAACGAUGCGUAGCCGACCUGAGAGGGUGAUCGGCCACACUGGGACUGAGACACGGCCCAGACUCCUACGGGAGGCAGCAGUAGGGAAUCUUCCGCAAUGGACGAAAGUCUGACGGAGCAACGCCGCGUGAGUGAUGAAGGUUUUCGGAUCGUAAAACUCUGUUGUUAGGGAAGAACAAGUACCGUUCGAAUAGGGCGGUACCUUGACGGUACCUAACCAGAAAGCCACGGCUAACUACGUGCCAGCAGCCGCGGUAAUACGUAGGUGGCAAGCGUUGUCCGGAAUUAUUGGGCGUAAAGCGCGCGCAGGCGGUUUCUUAAGUCUGAUGUGAAAGCCCCCGGCUCAACCGGGGAGGGUCAUUGGAAACUGGGGAACUUGAGUGCAGAAGAGGAGAGUGGAAUUCCACGUGUAGCGGUGAAAUGCGUAGAGAUGUGGAGGAACACCAGUGGCGAAGGCGACUCUCUGGUCUGUAACUGACGCUGAGGCGCGAAAGCGUGGGGAGCGAACAGGAUUAGAUACCCUGGUAGUCCACGCCGUAAACGAUGAGUGCUAAGUGUUAGAGGGUUUCCGCCCUUUAGUGCUGCAGCAAACGCAUUAAGCACUCCGCCU